UACAGAGGGUGCAAGCGUUAAUCGGAUUUACUGGGCGUAAAGCGUGCGUAGGCGGUUCGCUAAGUCGGUUGUGAAAUCCCUGGGCUUAACCUGGGAACUGCAGUCGAUACUGGCGGACUAGAGUACGGUAGAGGGUGGCGGAACUCCGGGUGUAGCGGUGAAAUGCGUAGAUAUCCGGAAGAACACCGAUGGCGAAGGCAGCCACCUGGGCCGGUACUGACGCUGAGGUACGAAAGCGUGGGGAGCAAACAGG
rnacentral:rRNA from 1 species